UGGAUUUUGAGUCAUAAAGUGUCCUGAAACAAUGGGAACUGCCCCAGAUGUAAUAGAAGCUCUUAUAGAUCAUAGCAAGAAGUUCUUCAAGUACUGAAGUUCAUUGCAGAAAUCCAGCACUUACUUCAAAGCUGGACAGUGUAUCACAGUUACUAUUGCAAGCUCAUCACUGAGUGUAAAAGAAAGAUCUUCAAAUGCAGAAGUUCUCCACUCCCUAUAUAUUUUUCUCUGAGGAAAUGAUUACUUUUUAAUCUGCCAUUCAUCUCACCAUAUCGGAACAAAGGGGAUUUUCAGGUUAGACACCUUUCUUUUGGAUCAAUAAGGAGUCAUUGGAAAGGUUUGUUGAAGAGGGAUGGAUGAAGAGAGAGGGAGAGAGGAAGAAAGAAGCAAAGGAGAGAAGCAAGAGGGAGAGAUGAAGCUCCUCAGUUUUGUCGUUCAUUGUGAUGGAAAUGUCUUUUAAAAUACACUACUGACUUAGGAAGACUUGUCUUUCACAUUCAUUGCACAGGUGUCAAAUCAAAUUUUAUCUUGCAGUGUCUUGUGCACUGGAGCAUAGCUCUUGUGACAUUUUGUAACAUAAUGCAACAUAAGGUAAUAAAUCAUACAGAAGUGAAUAAAACCUCAUUUUGUGUAUGUGUCUUGAGGAGGGGAAUGAACCAAAUGGCACAGUGCUGAUUUUACUGUGCUUCUAUCAUUGUUAAGAACUUUUUUUUUCUCUCCCGUCGUUGCUGAGGGACUAUUUAUCAAAAUAAUUCUUCAAAGUAAAAU